UGCCACAGAAGUGGUUCAGUGUAACAGUCUCAGCCUCCUGUUGGUGUAAAUUUUGCUAAGUGUAUUUCCUUGCCAAGAAGUCAAGCUGCUCAAAUCUUACGGUGGACUGAAGAGGUCUGGGACACACAUGACAGUUUU